rnacentral:rRNA from 1 species
GAUGAACGCUGGCGGCGUGCCUAAUACAUGCAAGUCGAGCGAACGGACGAGAAGCUUGUUCCUCUGAUGUUAGCGGCGGACGGGUGAGUAACACGUGGAUAACCUACCUAUAAGACUGGGACAACUUCGGGAAACCAUAGCUAAUACCGGAUAAUAUUUUUAACCGCAUGGUUCAAGAGUGAAAGACGCUCUUGCUUUCACUUAUAGAUGGACCCGCUCUGCAUUACCUGGUUGGUAAGGUAACGCCUUACCAAGGCAACGAUGCAUAGCCGACCGGGGAGGGUGUUCGGCCACACUGGACCUGAGACACGGUCCAGACUCCUACGGGAGGCAGCAGUAGGGAUUCUUCCGCAAUGGGCGAAGGCCUGACGGGGCAACGCCGCGUGAGUGGUGAAGGUCUUCGGAUCGUAAAACUCUGUUAUUAGGGAAGAACAUAUGUGUAAGUAACUGUGCACAUCUUGACGGUACCUAAUCAGAAAGCCACGGCUAACUACGUG